UAGCUAUUAAGUUGGUGCAAAACUAAUUGCAGUUUUUGUCAUUGUUUUUAAUGGCAAAAACUGCAAUUACUUUUGCACCAAAUAGAUA
ensembl:miRNA